UCCUGUUGAUCCUGCUCAGCUGAGGGCUGGGCUGAGAGGAGGGCCGGCGGGCGGACGGCGACGGCCACUGGCCAGGCGUGGGCGCGCGCGGGGCCACCCAAGGCACAGAGCAUACGCUCGUCGCCUGAGCCUGGAGCACCCUCGACUGCCGCGCCAUCCGCCCUCCGUGCUUCCAUCCGGCCCCCGGCUCUCCGCGCGGCGCCAUGCCCGCCGUGGACAAGCUCUUGCUAGAGGAGGCGUUGCAGGACAGCCCCCAGACUCGCUCUUUACUGAGUGUAUUUGAGGAAGAUGCCGGCACUCUCACGGAUUAUACCAACCAGCUGCUCCAGGCGAUGCAGCGCGUCUAUGGAGCCCAGAAUGAAAUGUGCCUGGCUACUCAACAGCUUUCUAAGCAACUGCUGGCAUAUGAAAAGCAGAAUUUUGCUCUUGGCAAAGGCGAUGAAGAGGUAAUUUCUACACUCCACUAUUUUUCCAAAGUAGUGGAUGAGCUUAAUGUUCUCCAUACAGAGCUGGCUAAACAGUUGGCAGACACAAUGGUUCUACCAAUUAUACAAUUUCGAGAAAAGGAUCUUACAGAAGUAAGCACUUUAAAGGAUCUUUUUGGACUCGCCAGCAGCGAGCAUGACCUCUCAAUGGCAAAAUAUAGUAGGCUUCCUAAAAAAAAGGAGAAUGAAAAGGUGAAGACUGAAAUCGUGAAGGAGGUGGCCGCAGCCCGGCGGAAACAGCACCUCUCCUCCCUUCAGUACUACUGUGCCCUCAAUGCGCUGCAGUACAGGAAGCGCGUGGCCAUGAUGGAGCCCAUGCUGGGCUUCGCCCACGGACAGAUUAACUUUUUUAAGAAGGGAGCAGAGAUGUUUUCCCAGAGUAUGGAUGGCUUCUUAUCCUCCGUCGCAGACAUGGUUCAAAGCAUCCAGGUGGAACUAGAAGUGGAAGCAGAGAAGAUGAGGGCAUCCCAGCAAGAAUUACUUUCUCUGGAUGAAGCUGUUUACACCCCAGACUUCGAUGUGGCUGCGCCCCAGAUCAACAGGAACCUUAUCCAGAAGGCCGGUUACCUUAAUCUUAGAAAUAAAACAGGGCUGGUCUCCACCACCUGGGAGAGACUCUACUUCUUCACCCAAGGUGGGAAUCUCAUGUGCCAGCCCCGGGGCGCCGUGGCCGGGGGCCUGAUCCAGGACCUGGACAACUGCUCUGUGAUGGCGGUGGACUGUGAGGACCGGCGAUACUGCUUCCAGAUCACCACUCCCAAUGGAAAAGCGGGAAUAAUCCUCCAGGCAGAAAGCAGAAAGGAAAACGAAGAGUGGAUAUGUGCAAUAAACAACAUCUCCAGACAGAUCUACCUGACUGACAACCCAGAGGCGGUCGCCAUCAAGUUGAAUCAGACGGCUCUCCAAGCAGUGACUCCAGUUACAAGCUUUGCAAAAAAACAAGAAAGUCCAUGCCCCAGCCAGAAUGUGAAAAGUUCAGAGGUGGAAAAUGACAAGAUAGUUCCAAAAGCAACAGUCAUUAUACCUGAAGCUGAACAACUAAUUGCACCUGGAACACCUAUUCAGUUUGACAUUGUACUUCCCGCUACAGAAUUCCUUGAUCAGAACAGAGGAGGCAGGCGUACCAACCCCUUUGGUGAAACUGAGGAUGCGACAUUUCCAGAAGCAGAAGAUUCUCUUUUGCAGCAGAUGUUUAUAGUUCGGUUUUUGGGAUCAAUGGCAGUCAAAACAGACAACACUACGGAAGUGAUUUACGAAGCGAUGAGACAAGUGCUGGCUGCUCGGGCUAUUCAUAACAUCUUCCGGACGACAGAGUCCCACUUGAUGGUCACCAGUCAGGCCCUGAGGUUGAUAGACCCCCAGACCCAAGUAACAAGGGCCAAUUUUGAACUCACCAGUGUCACCCAGUUUGCUGCUCAUCAAGAAAACAAGAGACUGGUUGGCUUUGUGGUCCGCUUGCCUGAAUCCACAGGCGGAGAGUCUCUGAGCACAUAUAUUUUUGAAAGCAACUCAGAAGGCGAAAAGAUAUGUUAUGCUAUUAAUUUGGGAAAAGAAAUCAUUGAGGUUCAGAAGGCACACCACCUGGUUUCAGAAUGCUGACAAUCGCUUGUGGAAUGUACUCUUGAUGCCUUGGUACUGAGACUUGGGAGGGAAACAGUAAGGAAUGGUUGACAACAUACCCACCUACAAAUGUUAUUUUAGGUGCUUUGUGAUACGAUAUUGACCAGACUGCAGAAAUCCAGCUCCUGGCAGGGAAUGGGAGUCUCCUCGCCCACUUCUGGGAUGGGACAACAGCCUGGCAUUCUCUUCCAGUGAACCUGCAGGCCUGAGGAAAUGAAGCACAGAAGGCAAGUAAACUUGUAAGCGGCAACUCGAUUCAAAUCACUCCUGGUUCCAGAAUCUACGCUUCUGCUAUACCGUUAGCAGACAGAAAACCAGAGACAAAGCAACCUCCAAAUGUUCCAAUGCAGUCAUCUCUGAAGAUUCUGAUAUUCAGUAAUUGCAUCAACUUAAAAGUGCAUCUUUAAUGCCUUAUUACCUUUUGUACAGAUUCUGAAAUGUUUACUGUAAUAGUACCACCUUUAUAUAAACAGGAGAUUCUGGGUAUAGAAGUGUUAACUUUUUGGCCCCUCACAUUAAUGGUAAUGACGGCAUUAUGAGAAAAUGUUUCAAUACACAAAGAUCUUACAUUACAGAAUGUACACCUUAAAGGUGAUUCCAGAAUUAUGACAUCAGAUCUACACGGACUGAGAGAGAAAUUUCACCUAUUUUCCCCGAGUAUGUUCUCCACUCAUGGGAACAAGCAGUGCUAUUAGGUAAACUAGGUGAUAAAGAAGAACCAAACUAUUACAAUAGAGGAAAAUAUCCAUAUACUUGCCCAAAUCAACCUUUCCUAUAAGAAAUUCCUGUAUAAACUAAACUCUCAUUUGUCAUCACCAUCACUGCACACUUCUAUGACUUCACUUAAUAGCUACAGACCCAGUUAUUCUGGACUCCUUUUUUAAAACUGAAAUGUGUGACAAUUUAAACUUUUAAUUGUCCUAACAUCUAAAAACAAAAAAAUGUAGCAUUAAAUCUCUUAAGGAAUGCCAUCAGUCUGAAACUUCUGCAACUUAAGCUGGAAAAAGAACUAAAAUUAUUAAAACUGGCUAAAGUCCACCAUUUAUAUUUGGCCAGUCCAGCAUAAAAAAGUAAGGGGACAAUGUAUGUGAUGGUAUUGUCUCAGCUUUCCCACAACCUUACAAAUUUACCACCUCAGAAGAGAAAAGCAGAACAUUUUUUCCAGCACAGUAUUUAGAAUGCUCUUUAUUAUACUGUUCCAGUCCAAGUCAUGACUGCAAAUGGCACUACAGCACCACAGAUUAAUGAUCCCUCCCCAGGAGUAAGAUUUAAAAUUAUACAUUCAUUUGGGUUCUUUUAUUUGAAAACAGCAAGCAACAGAAAGAUUAAAAAUAUAAAAAGGAAAGAAAACAAAAAGUUCACCUGGGCUACACAGAGGAGCCAAUGUCAAUUUUAUACUUGAAAUUUCUUGCCUACAUGCAUGCAAGUAUUUGUUUAAAAGACAUUUCCACAUACUAUUAAAGGGAACUCCAGAAAGAGUAAGAACUACUGGUUUAAGACAUUCAAAUCUGAACAAACAUCCAAAGGAAGUAAAUUUUGGAAAUUGCAUUUAUUAAUGUUCUAUUAUACAUAUUGUAUUCUCUUAGAACUGGGGGAGAGGAAAGCCCCCACUUAAGGGAGAUAACAAACUUACCAUCUUUUAUAAAAUCUAAUUAGAAUUGACAAUGUUAUGGUUAGUCCUUAAUUCCUGAGAAUUUGAACAUUAAGUUUUCUGUGAAUUUACAACAAAUGCUUACACAAAUUUUAAAUUGCAGUAUGUCUGAAAAAAAUGAAAAUGUUAACAUUAAUACAUUGGCAAGGA